rnacentral:tRNA from 1 species
GGGGAUAUGGCGAAAUCGGUAGACGCUACGGACUUAAAAUCCGUCGACUUUAUAAGUUGUGAGGGUU